AAAUCAUGGUAAGGACACUGUCUUAAUAAAUUCUUGAAUCUAUCCCAUACUUCAAAUAGUUAUUCUCUAUCUGCCUGAGCAAAGUUUGUGAUAUAAUUCCUCAUGU